rnacentral:rRNA from 1 species
GCCAAAUCUCCUUGUCAAAGCCUGAUCUCAAGAGAUCUCAGAAGCUAAACAAGGCUGGGCCUGGUUAAUGCUGGGAUGGGAGACCGCUGGGAAUACCAGGUGC